AACAUCUCAUUCAUUCUAUUAAAAUUGAAGCUAUUCAAAAUGACUAAGUUUUCUGUCAUACCAAUUCUUGUCUUUUUUAUUAUUUUUUCAGUUGUAACCAUGACAUGUCAAGCAGACAAAUCAUGUACCAUAACUCAACCUACUGGUAUCCCUUAUGAGUGUGAUUAUUGGUGCUCUGAUCAACCUUAUCAUGGUGACGGAAGAUGUGGAGGAGACCCUGCUAAACCCAUAUGUGUUUGCACAUAUCCAUGUUAAGUUUAUAAAAAAUAUAGCACAAUGCUCAAAAAUUAAAUGUUAAAUGUAAGAGCAUAUCAAAAUAAAUCUAAUAAAAUUAUGCAUUGAUAUUU